rnacentral:rRNA from 1 species
UAGGAGGCAGCAGUAAGGAAUAUUGGACAAUGGGCGAAAGCCUGAUCCAGCCAUGCCGCGUGUGUGAAGAAGGUCUUCGGAUUGUAAAGCACUUUAAGUUGGGAGGAAGGGCAGUAAGCUAAUACCUUGCUGUUUUGACGUUACCGACAGAAUAAGCACCGGCUAACUCUGUGCCAGCAGCCGCGGUAAUACAGAGGGUGCAAGCGUUAAUCGGAAUUACUGGGCGUAAAGCGCGCGUAGGUGGUUUGUUAAGUUGGAUGUGAAAGCCCCGGGCUCAACCUGGGAACUGCAUCCAAAACUGGCAAGCUAGAGUAUGGUAGAGGGUGGUGGAAUUUCCUGUGUAGCGGUGAAAUGCGUAGAUAUAGGAAGGAACACCAGUGGCGAAGGCGACCACCUGGACUGAUACUGACACUGAGGUGCGAAAGCGUGGGGAGCAAACAGGAUUAGAUACCCGCGUAGUCC